AACCGGAGAUCGUACGCCAAUGGAGCCAUCAAUGGCAGCAUUAAUGGGAUGCGUCCGGCCAAGUCGCUGGCCCAGCUGUGUGAUCUGACACCCAAGAAGGCGCCCUCAUCGCGAGACCUCAUUACCCAGUGAGAGCCUGAUCAAGAAAAAUGCAAAGCCAGGACGGUUAUCAAGGCGGCCAUAUCGCUGCUUGUAAAGAAGUGUGACCGCUUUGACUUUUAGCUGGUUGCCUGCAGCCAUGUGCAACAGCGACGAUCAGUGACGAUGUGCAGCAUUGACUAUCGAUUGCUGAAUAACCAUACGCAGCUUUGACCAUCGAUUUCUGGCGUGGAACCAUGUGCAGCUUUGACAUCCAACGUUUUAGGUUAUGGUCAAUGGACUCAGAAGCAGACACAGGUUUAGGAUAAGCUGGAUCAUGUCCAGGGCGUGCUAGUCACAGCCCGGCUGGCGGCAGUGCAGACCACUACUCUCCUGCUGCCCAUUGAUGAGCUCUCCAAUACACCCUCGAUGGCCUCUAGCGUGAACAGCGCUAAGGUGAAGUUCCUCGAUGAUUCGCAUUCGGAUGACUCUGGCAACUCGGCCUCCUCCCAGAGCAACAACAACGUCCAAGCCAAGCAGCAGCAGCCGCUCAA